rfam:Dipodomys ordii contig_60927, whole genome shotgun sequence.
GGUGGCUAGGUGGUAGAGCACUUGCCUUGCAUGCAUGAGACCCUGGGUUCGAUUCCUCAGCACCA